GGAGAGGUGACCGAGUGGUCGAAGGUGCACGACUGGAAAUCGUGUGUGCCGGCGACGGCACCGCGGGUUCGAAUCCCGCCCUCUCCG
rnacentral:tRNA from 1 species